rnacentral:rRNA from 1 species
CAGGCCUAACACAUGCAAGUCGAGCGGACUUAUCCUUCGGGAUAGGUUAGCGGCGGACGGGUGAGUAACACGUAGGCAACCUGCCUGUAAGAUCGGGGUAACUACCGGAAACGGUAGCUAAGACCGGAUAGCUGGUUUCUCCGCAUGGGGGAAUCAUGAAACACGGGGCAACCUGUGGCUUACGGAUGGGCCUGCGGCGCAUUAGCUAGUUGGUGGGGUAACGGCCCACCAAGGCGACGAUGCGUAGCCGACCUGAGAGGGUGAUCGGCCACACUGGGACUGAGACACGGCCCAGACUCCUACGUGAGGCAGCAGUAGGGAAUCUUCCGCAAUGGGCGCAAGCCUGACGGAGCAACGCCGCGUGAGUGAUGAAGGUUUUCGGAUCGUAAAGCUCUGUUGCCAAGGAAGAACGCCUCGGAGAGUAACUGCUCUGAGGGUGACGGUACUUGAGAAGAAAGCCCCGGCUAACUACGUGCCAGCAGCCGCGGUAAUACGUAGGGGGCAAGCGUUGUCCGGAAUUAUUGGGCGUAAAGCGCGCGCAGGCGGUCUUUUAAGUUUGGUGUUUAAGCCCGGGGCUCAACCCCGGUUCGCACUGAAAACUGGGAGACUUGAGUGCAGGAGAGGAAAGCGGAAUUCCACGUGUAGCGGUGAAAUGCGUAGAGAUGUGGAGGAACACCAGUGGCGAAGGCGGCUUUCUGGACUGUAACUGACGCUGAGGCGCGAAAGCGUGGGGAGCAAACAGGAUUAGAU